rnacentral:misc_RNA from 1 species
AAGUCGUAACAAGGUCUCCGUUGGUGAACCAGCGGAGGGAUCAUUACCGAGUUAUUACUCCAAACCCUUUGUGAACCAAAACAAACCUUUCGCUUCGGCAGCUGGGCCCCGUCUGGGACCCGUCAGCCUGCCGCUAGCACCAAACAAAAAAACUUGUUGUCAAAACAUUGUCUGAUAACCAAAAUUUUCGAAUGAAAAUCAAAACUUUCAACAACGGAUCUCUUGGUUCCC